rnacentral:rRNA from 1 species
UCUUUUAAUUGAAGGCUGGUAUGAAUGGUUGGACGAAAUAUUUACUGUUUCAUAAUAAUUUUUAUUAGAAUUUUAUUUUUUAGUAAAAAAGCUAAAAUUUAUUUAAAAGACGAGAAGACCCUAUAAAUCUUUAUAUUUAAAUUAUUAAUUUUUUUUAGGUAUAUUUUAUUGUAAUAAUUAAUAGUAUUUUAUUGGGGUGAUAUUAAAAUUUAAUAAACUUUUAAUUAUUUUUUCAUUAAUUUAUGAAUUAUUGAUCCGUUAUUAGCGAUUAAAAAAAUAAGUUACUUUAGGGAUAACAGCGUAAUUUUUUUGGAGAGUUCUUAUCAAUAAAAAAGAUUGC